AUCCGUGGAACUCUACAUGGCCGAAAACAAUGCUCAGUUUGAAGCUCUAGAAGCAAGAGAAAAUGUCUAAGAUAAAAAAAUUAGAUGCAUGCUACUGAGGAUUUAUGGGAGUAUACCAAAGCGUCAAUGGUAUUUAUGGAACACAUCCCAACUUUCUUGGCGGUUCAUAUGAAGCCUUUGAUACACAUAAUUAGUGGCCUGGGGACAGAGCACAAGGUGGAGAGGUAGACAGUGGUAGCAAUGCUGCCCAUGAUGGUGGAGAGGAGAUGUACUUUACCGAUGAAGAGCAAGAAGAUUGAUCAUUCAACAAUUCAUUCAUUCAGUUACUUUUUCUUUCUUGCACUUUAAAUUAAUGUUUUGAACACUUUAUUUGUUGUUUUGAACACUUUAUUUGUUGUUUUGAACAUUUGGGUACCUUUUUAUGGUGUGUCUGGAUUGUUUAAAUUGAUUUGUUAUUAGUUUGUUCGGUGUG
rnacentral:lncRNA from 1 species